rnacentral:rRNA from 1 species
AUGGAGAUGCUUGGCGACGGACCAGGCUUUCGUUCGUCAGCCAAUGCCAUGUACAGGGGGCGCGGCCAGUCUCGGGGCAGAGGAGGCCGCGGACGUAGAGGGCGUGGUCGCUCUGAUCGUGCUCCCUCUUCUCCUGUUCGCACCGGUGGGAACAACGGCUACCAGCAACGUCAACGCCAGCCACCGCAGCAGCAGUAUCAGCAGCAGCAUGAGGAGGAUUACCCUGAGUGCCAGAUAUGUUACAAAUUCCAUGCUGGUGGCGCCAGGGACUGCUGGGAUCGGUACAAAGAAGAUCGUUAG